rnacentral:rRNA from 1 species
AGAGUUUGAUUCUGGCUCAGGAUAACGCUGGCGGCGCAUUUAAGACAUGCAAGUCGAACGGAGAUUUUAAAUUUUAGUGGCGGACGGGUGAGUAAUACGUAGGCAACCUGCCUCAAAGAGGGAAAUAACUAGAAGAAAUUUUAGCUAAUGUCCCAUAACUACACUAUGGCAUCAUAGAGCAGUCAAAGGAGUAAUCCGCUUUGAGAUGGGCCUACGGCUGAUUAGUUAGUUGGUGAGGUAAUGGCUCACCAAGACGAUGAUCAGUAGCCGGGCUGAGAGGCUGUACGGCCACAUUGGGACUGAGACACGGCCCAGACUCCUACGGGAGGCAGCAGUUGGGAAUAUUGGACAAUGGGGGAAACCCUGAUCCAGUGACGCCGCGUGAAGGAGGUUCGUUGACUUAUUUUGUCAGGGAAAAAAACCUGAAGAAGAAGGACCGGCAACUACGUGCCAGCAGCCGCGGUAAUACGUAGGGUCCAAGCGUUAUCCGGAUUUACUGGGUGUAAAGGGCGAGUAGACGGCGUGAUAAGUCAGAUGUGAAAUCUUAGGGCUCAACCUUAAGACUGCAUCUGAAACUGUCAUGCUAGAGUGCAGAAGAGGUAAGUGGAAUUCCUAGUGUAGCGGUGAAAUGCGUAGAUAUUAGGAGGAACACCAGUGGCGAAGGCGACUUACUGGGCUUAACUGACGUUGAGGCGCGAAAGUGUGGGGAGCAAACAGGAUUAGAUACCCUGGUAGUCCACACCGUAAACGAUGGAUACUAGGUGUAGGUGCAAACGCAUCUGUGCCGGCGCAAACGCAAUAAGUAUCCCACCUGGGGAGUACGACCGCAAGGUUGAAACUCAAAGGAAUUGACGGGGGCCCGCACAAGCAGUGGAGUAUGUGGUUUAAUUCGACGCAACGCGAAGAACCUUACCAAGACACAUAGCAUGAAAGUCUAAGAAAUUAGAUCCUUCGCAUGUUAAGGUGAUGCACGGUUGUCGUCAGCUCGUGUCGUGAGAUGUUGGGUUAAGUCCCGCAACGAGCGCAACCCUCGUGAUUAGUUGCUGCCUAGCAGAACUCUAAUCAGACUGCCGUAGUUAAUACGGAGGAAGGUGAGGAUGACGUCAAAUCAUCAUGUCCCUUAUGUCUUGGGCUACACACGUACUACAAUGGCUACUACAAAGAGAAGCGAGACCGCGAGGUGGAGCAAACUGAUAAAAGUAGCCCUAGUUCGGAUUGCAGGCUGAAACUCGCCUGCAUGAAGCUGGAAUUGCUAGUAAUCACAGGUCAGCAUACUGUGGUGAAUACGUUCCCGGGCCUUGCACACACCCCCGUC